UCCCAGGGAAACGUAGCAGCCUUUUCCUUAAGUAUUUUUUGUGCUCUGAAAUUUAUCAAUUACAGAUUUAGAAUUUCGUUUGCAAAAUGAGUCUGAAUAUCUGAAAUAUUCUUGUGGCUUUCUAAUCUUUCUAAUUAACAUGCAAAUUCGUGAAGUUAACUACACUUAAUAUUAAAUUUUAAAUCGAUGGCAACAAUCCAACAGGUUUUUGGCUCAAAAUCCAGAUUUACUAAACCCGAAAAACGAUAACGAAAACAAAAAAUUCCUUUCCAAAUAUCCAAUAUGAAGUUGCCUCCGUUAUUCCCCAUAAUGAUUUUACUAAUAGUUGGAUUACAUUAUCGAAGCAAUUAAUACAAAUCAACAUUUACAUAGCAUGAGCUCAUUAUGGAAAAAUUAUUGAAAUUUUACUCUAUGUGUUUUUCAUAUUAAAGCUCAUAACAGGGAGUACCCCUAUUAUUUAAAUUAAGCUAAA